rnacentral:rRNA from 1 species
AUUGAACGCUGGCGGCAUGCUUUACACAUGCCAGUCGAACGGUAACAGGCCGCAAGGUGCUGACGAGUGGCGAACGGGUGAGUAAUGCAUCGGAACGUGCCCAGUCGUGGGGGAUAACUACUCGAAAGAGUAGCUAAUACCGCAUACGAUCUAUGGAUGAAAGCGGGGGACCGUAAGGCCUCGCGCGAUUGGAGCGGCCGAUGUCAGAUUAGGUAGUUGGUGGGGUAAAGGCUCACCAAGCCAACGAUCUGUAGCUGGUCUGAGAGGACGACCAGCCACACUGGGACUGAGACACGGCCCAGACUCCUACGGGAGGCAGCAGUGGGGAAUUUUGGACAGUGGGCGCAAGCCUGAUCCAGCAAUGCCGCGUGCAGGAAGAAGGCCUUCGGGUUGUAAACUGCUUUUGUACGGAACGAAACGGCUCUGGUUAAUACCCGGGGCUAAUGACGGUACCGUAAGAAUAAGCACCGGCUAACUACGUG